AAAAAGAAAAAGAGAAAAAGAAAAAGAAAAAGGAAAAAGAAGAAGAAAAAGAAGAAGAAGGAGAGGGAAAGGUAGCCAUCACCUUUCUCACACAGCAGUGUGUUCUCAGUAGCUUUUGAAUCCAGGGUAUUGGAGAGCACCUCGUAGCACAAGCUUAUGCUGAUUUCAGUGCCAGUCUCGUGCCUGCACAAGCCAGAACAUUCCCAGCUGGCCCUUGCAGCUGACCACCCCCAUUGCAGUGGUGCUCAGCACUGACUUUUCCAAUGCUCUCACACCUCACAGCACAGCGGAGAAGGCUCAAGGGUGUCGGGGUGAGCAGAGCGCUGUCCCACCUAUGGCUGAGCUCCCACUGUUCCCCAGCCUCUCCUCCAGUCUCCUGCAGACUGUUAAAAGAAAGUGAGCUCCAUCCCAGCCAAAGUCAGCACUUUCCCCUUACAAAAUGAACAGCUAGAUUGAUUAUGCUGAGAAGUAGAAGAGAUAUUAUGGUAGAGGACUGACCUUGUCUGAAUGCCAGAUGUCCACCAAGACACUGUCACUCCCUCUUCUCAGCUGGACAGGAAAG